UUCAUGGUGUGAAGAAUCAAGAAUGUCUCAUCGUCUUUGGAGAAAGUUGGAAUCUUUGGGGAUUUCUCAAUCCCAAUGGAGCUCUCGGGCGUCGUCCAUGGCUGCAAAUUCCCCAGUAGGCAGUCAUUCAUUUUGCUUUUCUGGUUCGUUGAUGCCUUUUCUCUUGAUUCGGCGAUGUCUCGGAUCAAACAAAGCUGGGGAGAGUCUUUCUCAGGUGUGCGGUGAUUCCAAUGUCCAGGUUCUGGAUUUCCCUGGAGGAAAAGUUAAUUUCAGUUCUGAGAUGAGAUUUUUGUCAGAAUCAUCGCCAGAAAGGAUCAGCUGUUAUCGUGUUCUUGAUGAUUAUGGACGAAUAAUCUCUAACAGCAGUUCACAACAAGUGAGAAAGGAAGUUGCUCUGAAAAUGUAUCGUGACAUGGUGACUCUACAAACUAUGGACACCAUCUUCUAUGAAGCUCAGAGACAAGGAAGAAUUUCUUUUUAUCUUACCACAAUUGGAGAGGAGGCUAUCAACAUCGCCUCAGCGGCUGCACUAACCAUUGAUGAUAUUGUGAUUCCACAGUACAGAGAACCGGGUGUUCUCUUAUGGCGUGGUUUCACUCUGCAGGAGUUUGCACACCAUAAUUUUGGAACCAAGUAUGAUUCUGGCAAAGGCCGGCAGAUGCCUGUUCAUUAUGGAUGUAGCAGGCUCAAUUACUUCACGGUUUCAUCAACUAUAGCGACACAGUUACCGCAUGCCGUUGGAGUUGCCUUUGCACUCAAAAUGGAUAAGAAAAAUGCUUGUGCAGUCGUGUAUUUUGGUGAUGGUGGGACAAGUGAGGGAGACUUCCAUGCCGCCUUAAAUUUUGCUGCUGUUAUGGAGGUUCCUGUUAUCUUCUUCUGUCGCAACAAUGGUUGGGCAAUCAGUACUCCCACAACAGAACAAUUUCGAAGUGACGGUGCGGUUAUCCGAGGUCAAGCUUAUGGUAUUCGUAGUAUUCGCAUAGACGGCAAUGAUGGUCUUGCUGUUUACAAUGCAGUUUGUGCUGCUCGUGAAAUGGCAAUAAGCGAAUGUCGCCCUGUAUUAGUAGAGGCACUUACAUACAGAGUUGGCCACCACUCAACUUCCGAUGACUCCACCAAGUACCGACCGAUGGAUGAAAUUGAGCAUUGGAGAACAGCACGAGAUCCAGUCUCUAGAUUCAGGAAAUGGGUAGAAGGGAAUGGAUGGUGGAGCAAUGAAGUUGAACUGAAUCUGAGAAGCAAUGUGAGGAAGGAGUUACUGCAGGCAAUUCAGGUUGCCGAACAAACAGAGAAACCACCACUCUUUGAACUGUUCACAGAUGUGUAUGAUCAAGUUCCAUUGAAUCUUUGCGAACAAGAGAAGUCACUCAGGGAGACAAUCCGGAAACACCCUGGAGAUUAUCCGAUUGAUUCACUGUUCAGAAAAAAGCAGCUUAAAGGGGCCCGGCAGCAUCCAACAAUGUUAUAUCUCUCUUUACAAGCUUAGUUGGUUGUCACUCACUUCCACUCAAGUUAAAAAAGGGAAGGUGUUGCCACUUGCGAACUCCACUGCAACAACCGGCCUACUUCAUGUGCCAAAAUAUACCGGUAAAAAAAAAAUCCAAAUGAGCUUUAAUGGUCCCUCCACUGCUGCAUUGAAAUGAUAAAAGGAGGAGAUUUCUGAAUGCGCACACACACACAAAUGCUGUAGUUUUCGGUCUCUCUGUUUAAGCUUAUCUCAAGAGAGGAGCUUGAAACAAGAAAGGAGGAAUGAAUCUCCUUCACCUAUCCUAUCAAAAGGAUAUGAUGCAAGAUAUGCAGCACUUGGAGAUAUUUUUAUGACUGGUGGUGGAAUGGAGGAGAAUC